rnacentral:rRNA from 1 species
GCUGACGAGUCCUUUACUGACGCUAAAGCUCGAAGGUGCGGGUAUCGAACAGGAUUAGAUACCCUGGUAGUCCGCACGGUAAACGAUGGAUGCCCGCUGUUGGCGAUACAAUGUCAGCGGCCAAGCGAAAGCGUUAAGCAUCCCACCUGGGGAGUACGCCGGCAACGGUGAAACUCAAAGGAAUUGACGGGGGCCCGCACAAGCGGAGGAACAUGUGGUUUAAUUCGAUGAUACGCGAGGAACCUUACCCGGGCUUGAACUGCAGCAGAAGGAUUGAGAGAUCAUGACGCCCUUCGGGGCUGCUGUGGAGGUGCUGCAUGGUUGUCGUCAGCUCGUGCCGUGAGGUGUCGGCUUAAGUGCCAUAACGAGCGCAACCCCUUCCGACAGUUGCCAUCAGGUGAUGCUGGGCACUCCGUCGGUACUGCCACCGCAAGGUGUGAGGAAGGUGGGGAUGACGUCAAAUCAGCACGGCCCUUACGUCCGGGGCUACACACGUGUUACAAUGGGUGGUACAGAGAGUCGGUGCAUGGCAAUGUGCAUCCAAUCCUAAAAGCCAUCCUCAGUUCGGAUUGGGGUCUGCAACCCGACCCCAUGAAGCUGG